rnacentral:rRNA from 1 species
CGCAACGCGAAGAACCUUACACGGGUUUGACAUCCACUGAAUGCCUUAAGAGAUUAGGUCGGCCCCUUCGGGGGACAGUGAGACAGGUGGUGCAUGGCUGUCGUCAGCUCGUGUCGUGAGAUGUUGGGUUAAGUCCCGCAACGAGCGCAACCCUUAUCCUGUGUUACCAGCGUGAAAGACGGGGACUCACAGGAGACUGCCGCCGACAAGGCGGAGGAAGGCGGGGAUGACGUCAAGUCAUCAUGCCCCUUAUGUCCUGGGCUACACACGUACUACAAUGGGUGCGAACAGAGGGCAGCAAUCCCGCGAGGGGGAGCCAAUCCCACAAAAGCACUCUCAGUUCGGAUCGCAGGCUGCAACCCGCCUGCGUGAAGUCGGAAUCGCUAGUAAUCGCAGAUCAGCAGGCUCGCGUCGAUACGUUCCGGCCUU